UAGGGAAUCUUCCACAAUGGACGAAAGUCUGAUGGAGCAACGCCGCGUGAGUGAAGAGGGUUUCGGCUCGUAAAACUCUGUUGUUAAAGAAGAACAUAUCUGAGAGUAACUGUUCAGGUAUUGACGGUAUUUAACCAGAAAGCCACGGCUAACUACGUGCCA
rnacentral:rRNA from 1 species